GAGAUUGUAGCUCAGCGGUAGAGCACUUGCUUAGCACGUGAGAGGCCCUGGGUUUGAUCCUCAGCACACAUA
rnacentral:tRNA from 1 species